CAGCAGCCACGGUAACACCAGCAGCCCAAGUGGUGGUCGCGAUUAUUGGGCCUAAAGCGCUCGUAGCCGGGCCGGUAAGUCCCUUGUGAAAUCGGACGGCCUAACCGUUCGGCGUGCAAGGGAUACUGUCGGUCUUGAGGCCGGGAGACGUCCGAGGUACUCCGGGGGUAGCGGUGAAAUGUUCUGAUCCUCGGGGGACCACCGGUGGCGAAGGCGUUCGACGAGAACGGGCCUGACGGUGAGGGGCGAAGGCUAGGGGAGCAAACGGGAUUAGAUACCCCGGUAGUCCCUGUCUCUUAUA
rnacentral:rRNA from 1 species